ACAACAUUCGAAACUACCGGAAAUGAUACCAGCCGUCAGACGUGGAGGGCCGGCCCCCAGCAGCACCAACCAGCCCACAGGGAGGAGCCAGCAGAGGAUAUUUAACAGCUGGAAAGGUGGAGCUCGCUCUCUUCCCUUCUCUCACAAGAGCCAGAACACAGCUGUUUUUCUGACUGAACCAUCUUCUGCUUGUAACAUUACCGCGCUUUUUAUUAAUUAAAGUAUACAUUUGAACCUUC